UACGGAGGGUGCAAGCGUUAUCCGGAUUCACUGGGGUUAAAGGGUGCGUAGGUGGGCAGGUAAGUCAGUGGUGAAAUCUCCGGGCUUAACCCGGAAACUGCCGUUGAUACUAUUUGUCUUGAAUAUUGUGGAGGUAAGCGGAAUAUGUCAUGUAGCGGUGAAAUGCUUAGAUAUGACAUAGAACACCAAUUGCGAAGGCAGCUCGCUACACGAAUAUUGACUCUGAGGCACGAAAGCGUGGGGAUCAAACAGG
rnacentral:rRNA from 1 species